CUCAUGCCUUAUUUCCAUGACAUGGGAAGGAGCAACAAAUUUGAUCUGGACAACUCCAAAGGACACACUUGUACCCUGAGGGUGGAAAUUUCAGAGAGCUCAAAGACGAAGAAAUCUACAAGGACUCAAUAAUAUCAGAGGAAGAAUGACUUUACUCAACUGUCAUUUUGAUAGAAGAAAUCAGGAAUGAGAAGUUGAGUCUCUUCUAUUCCCUUUUCUCCUAGGAAACUGACUGCCUUCAGAGAGGAGCCUUGGAUUCUCCACUGGAGGAGAAGCUACGCUGCAGAGAACACAGCUACUGCAAUGCUGUCAGCAGAUCUGGGUGUCCUGCACCUCACAGACGCACAGAGAACAUGCUGCAUUUGUUAUUCCUGAACGAAUGAAGGAGUGAAUAAAUGAAUGAAAC
rnacentral:lncRNA from 1 species